ensembl:lncRNA
CCUGGCUGGCUGCCUGCCUGUCUGCCUGCGUGCCUGCCUGCCUGCCUGCCUGUUAAACUGACUCUGUGUCUCUUUGUCGUUCAUCCUCUCAUCCCCAUUCAUCCCCUGAGUCAGGGAGAACAAAGCCUGUGGAAGUCCCAGAAUAAGUCCCUAGAUGCAGGCAAUCUCUGGUUAAUGUUUCCACUCUGAUUAAGAAACUAAGAUAUUCAUUUUGGGAUCAUGGAGCCAGCCGAGUCACAUAUGGGCAGAAUGGAAAUGGAAAGGUAAGAGCAAAACUGGACAUUUUUAUCAUAAGGAGCCUAAGGGUCAUUUUGGCAUUUAGAGAAAUUCAUGGAGGACAGAUCAAGGUAGGAUCUAUUUGGGGCCCCUUUGGGAGGCCUGUGGUUGCCAGAACACACAGACACACACAGACACACACAGACACACACACACACACACACAUGCACGCACGCGCGCGCCAAAUACAAAGUCAAAAC